rnacentral:rRNA from 1 species
UACGGAGGGUGCAAGCGUUAAUCGGAAUUACUGGGCGUAAAGCGCACGUAGGUGGUUUGUUAAGCCAGCUGUGAAAUCCCCGGGCUCAACCUGGGCACUGCAGUUGGAACUGGCAAGCUAGAGUAGGGUAGAGGGGUGUGGAAUUCCAGGUGUAGCGGUGAAAUGCGUAGAUAUCGGGAGGAACACCAGUGGCGAAGGCGACUUCCUGGCCUGUUCUUGACGCUGAGGCGCGAAAGCUAGGGUAGCAAACGGG